rnacentral:rRNA from 1 species
AGGGUUCGAUUAUGGCUCAGGAUGAACGCUGGCGGCGUGCCUAAUACAUGCAAGUCGAACGCUUCACAUAUGUGAAGAGUGGCGAACGGGUGAGUAAUACAUAAGUAACCUGGCCUUUACAGGGGGAUAACUAUUGGAAACGAUAGCUAAGACCGCAUAGGUGUCAUAACCGCAUGGAGAUGAUAUGAAAUAUGCUACGGCAUAGGUAGAGGAUGGACUUAUGGCGCAUUAGCUAGUUGGAGGGGUAACGGCCCACCAAGGCGACGAUGCGUAGCCGACCUGAGAGGGUGACCGGCCACACUGGGACUGAGACACGGCCCAG